AACGAACGCUGGCGGCAGGCCUAACACAUGCAAGUCGAGCGAGGACUUCGGUCCUAGCGGCGGACGGGUGAGUAACGCGUGGGAACGUGCCCUUUGCUUCGGAAUAGCCCUGGGAAACUGGGAGUAAUACCGGAUGAGCCCUUUGGGGGAAAGAUUUAUCGGCGAAGGAUCGGCCCGCGUUGGAUUAGGUAGUUGGUGGGGUAAUGGCCUACCAAGCCGACGAUCCAUAGCUGGUUUGAGAGGAUGAUCAGCCACACUGGGACUGAGACACGGCCCAGACUCUGAGGGGAGGCGGCAGGGGGGAAUCUAGGAAAAGGGGGAAAGCCUUGAUCGAGCCAGGCCGGGGGAGAAAUGAGGGCUUGGGGGUUGAAAAGCUCUUGCGGCUGGGAAGAUAAUGAGGUUACCAAAAGAAGAAGCCCCGGCUAACCCCGUG
rnacentral:rRNA from 1 species